rnacentral:rRNA from 1 species
AGCGCUGUAGCAAUACAGAGCGGCGCACGGGAGAGUAAUACGUGGGAACCUACCCUUUGGUUCGGAAUAACGUCGGGAAACUGACGCUAAUACCGGAUAAGCCCUUCGGGGGAAAGAUUUAUUGCCGAAGGAUGGGCCCAUGUUGGAUUAGCUAGUUGGUGAGGUAACGGCUCACCAAGGCAACGAUCCAUAGCUGGUCUGAGAGGAUGAUCAGCCUCACUGGGACUGAGACACGGCCCAGACUCCUACGGGAGGCAGCAGUGGGGAAUAUUGGACAAUGGGGGCAACCCUGAUCCAGCCAUGCCGCGUGAGUGAUGAAGGCCUUCGGGUUGUAAAGCUCUUUUGGCGGGGACGAUGAUGACGGUACCCGCAGAAUAAGCCCCGGCUAACUUCGUGCCAGCAGCCGCGGUAAUACGAAGGGGGCUAGCGUUGUUCGGAAUUACUGGGCGUAAAGGGCGCGUAGGCGGAUUAGCAAGUUGGGUGUGAAAGCCCAGGGCUCAACCCUGGAAUUGCACUCAAGACUGCUUUUCUUGAAUUCGGUAGAGGUUGGUGGAAUUCCCAGUGUAGAGGUGAAAUUCGUAGAGAUUGGGAAGAACACCCGUGGCGAA